UACUCAUCUGGUCAGACCUUGAAUCUCCUUCAGAGUAGUGGGGGAUUUCAUACUCAAGAUCAAUCGAAUUUUCCUUGAAUGUGCAUCAUUCAACCUCAUCCUAAAGUGUUUGCUUCUCUGGUAGAGCGAAAGAGUCUGCCAGAGUUAGAUCUUCUAUUAUGAUUAAUUCUCCGAACAGCAGUUGGUCUGCUGAGAGUCCUUUUUGGAAGGCUACAUUAGCUAUCGAGUCGUUGCAUUAGAUUAUCUUUGCCUUAUCUGCUUUAAACCUCUUCACAUAGUCAUGAAGCGAUUUAUUUGGGUUUUUCUUGAGGUUAAGCAAAUGAUCAGACUUCUUUUUUAUCGAGUGAUAAGAUGAAUAUUCUUUGGUGAAAAACAAAAAAAGAUAAUUGAAACUCUGGAUGGAUUGUGGCGGCAGGGUAUGGACCCAAUCUUGCGCCUUGCCUUGUAAAAUGAUGGCGAAUAUCUUGCACAUAAAAGCAUCAUUGUUCCGAUAAAAGAUCAUUAUGCUUCAGUAGUACUUUAAGUGUCUCCCCAGGUUUCCAUCUCCUUUGAAGGAUGUGAAAUGU
rnacentral:lncRNA from 1 species